UACGUAGGGUGCAAGCGUUGUUCGGAAUUACUGGGCGUAAAGGGCUCGUAAGCUGCCAACUAAGUCGGACGUGAAAUCCCUCGGCUUAACCGGGGAACUGCGUCCGAUACUGGAUGGCUUGAGUUUGGGAGAGGGAUGCGGAAUUCCAGGUGUAGCGGUGAAAUGCGUAGAUAUCUGGAGGAAUACCGGUGGCGAAGGCGGCAUCCUGGACCGACAUUGACGCUGAGGAGCGAAAGCUAGGGGAGCAAAGCGGG
rnacentral:rRNA from 1 species